GUGGCCAGGGAGCCGCAGGCAAGGGACUAAGGGGAGGGGGGCUCAGUGCCAGCUGCUUAAAAAUGCCCCUGUGGCAGCGAGGGGCACCAGAGGCUGGGUCUAAUUAGUUGAGAAGCAGUGACACCCCCAACCACUCCCCAAACAGGCUGGCUCCCGUCUCCAGGCCCCAAGGAGCCACACCUGGACCAGACCCCAGGAAAGGCAAGGGCGCUAGCUGGUGGGAGCCACCCCGCCAUGCUGAUGUCAGAGAAGCAAGAACUCUGGAGAAGCAGCCUCCUGGGACCAGAGGAGGGCCAGCAGCAGGCAGCCCGGAGACAGAACUCUCACCCACGCCUCUCCAAGCCUCCCAACAGAAGACAGAGGUCCCCCACAGCCAGAGACAUUUCCUGAAGACAUGGGGAACACAGAGGCAGAAACAGCCCAUCCACCCAGGAGCUGUCCCCCACACUGCCGGGAGCCGGCACCCAGAGCCGCCAGGUUGGAGUCCCGCCACAGGCCACCAGAGCGGAGCAGCGCAGCGCCCUGUCUCCCAGCCUGAGGUGCAGUGCUGCAUCUCUGGUCAGUUGGGAGUCUGAGAUGAAGCACUGUAGCUCAGGAAGAGAGAAGUUGUUCUGCAGCCAUCAGCCUGGAAGUGGCUGGAUGUGGGAACUUCAGCACUGCCGUACUCUUGGGAAAUUUGUCCAAGGCCACCCGGCUGAGCAGCGGUUGAACCAGGACACCAUCAGGCAUGCGUUUCUUGUCUCCACCACACCCUCAACCCACUUCCCAACGCGCCUUGCGACAGGGGCUGCGGUAUUGCAUCCACAUGACUGAUAAACUAGUAAACACACAUGAAUUCAUUUUAAAA
rnacentral:lncRNA from 1 species